GACGUAGGGUGCAAGCGUUAAUCGGAAUUACUGGGCGUAAAGCGUGCGCAGGCGGCGAUGUAAGUCAGAUGUGAAAUCCCCGGGCUCAACCUGGGAAUUGCAUUUGAGACUGCAUGGCUAGAGUGUGUCAGAGGGGGGUAGAAUUCCACGUGUAGCAGUGAAAUGCGUAGAGAUGUGGAGGAAUACCGAUGGCGAAGGCAGCCCCCUGGGAUAACACUGACGCUCAUGCACGAAAGCGUGGGGAGCAAACAGG
rnacentral:rRNA from 1 species